AGAGCGAACGCUGGCGGCAGGCCUAAUACAUGCAAGUCGAACGGAUCCUUCGGGAUUAGUGGCGGACGGGUGAGUAACACGUGGGAACGUACCCUUUGGUUCGGAACAACUCAGGGAAACUUGAGCUAAUACCGAAUGUGCCCUUCGGGGAAAAGAUUUAUCGCCAUUGGAGCGGCCCGCGUCUGAUUAGCUAGUUGGUAGGGUAAAGGCCUACCAAGGCUACGAUCAGUAGCUGGUCUGAGAGGAUGAUCAGCCACACUGGGACUGAGACACGGCCCAGACUCCUACGGGAGGCAGCAGUAGGGAAUCUUGCGCAAUGGGCGAAAGCCUGACGCAGCCAUGCCGCGUGAAUGAUGAAGGUCUUAGGAUUGUAAAAUUCUUUCAGCGGGGACGAUAAUGACGGUACCCGCAGAAGAACGCCCGGCUAACUUCGCGCCAGCACGCCGC
rnacentral:rRNA from 1 species